UCAUUCGGAUUCGCCAUCAUACGUCCAACCGUGCAUUUGAUAUGCAUAUAUAUGCAUCACGAGCCACGGUUGGCUGUAUGAUGGCGAUACCGAUUGG
rfam:Triticum aestivum genome assembly, contig: Triticum_aestivum_CS42_TGACv1_scaffold_289089_4AL